rnacentral:rRNA from 1 species
UACGGAGGGUGCAAGCGUUAUCCGGAUUCACUGGGUUUAAAGGGUGCGUAGGUGGGUUGGUAAGUCAGUGGUGAAAUCUCCGAGCUUAACUUGGAAACUGCCAUUGAUACUAUCAGUCUUGAAUAUUGUGGAGGUUAGCGGAAUAUGUCAUGUAGCGGUGAAAUGCUUAGAUAUGACAUAGAACACCAAUUGCGAAGGCAGCUAGCUACACAUAUAUUGACACUGAGGCACGAAAGCGUGGGGAUCAAACAGG